ACUAAACCUAAUGUAUCUACUUGAUUUUGUUGUUGCAGAUUAAAUGGUUAUCUUAUCUGUACAUAGCUUAUUAGGCAGUAUAGCAGUACCCGCACGUUUAGUAGUUGUUAGAUAGUUUUUGUGCAUAGUUGAACUGUGUAUUGAGAUGGGAAGCCAAGUUGAAAGGCUUGCGGAUUCCAUUUGUCAGACUGGUGGCAUUCCUUAAUUUCUGAUCCCUGGUUAUGAUUUGAUUCUUAUUUAUAUUGUCCUAUGGAAAGAGCAUUAGGAUAGGACAAGCAAACAAGCCUUUCAACAUUCAUGGUGUAUAUUUUGUUUCACCGAGCUGUGUUGCUUAUGAUUUUGAAUUCGAACGGAUCUGCUUCUGUUCACUAAAGAAAUAAAUGCAUGGAUAGAGAAGCUAUGCUCUAAGCUGUUUUCCCUUAGUUUAAAGGAAGGAUUAGUAGUACAUGUAACUGUCUUUUCUUUUCUUGGUAUUCAAACAAGAACAAAUCACUGUUGAUGUUUAAACUCUCUAGAAUCUCAUAAAUUUUAUUAUUCCUCUUAAACUUCUGAUACAAAAUUGGAGUUGUAAAUUAUUUAUUCUGGCACAACCAACUGCUUCUUCUUCUGCCUAGCUUGCUUUCGAUGAAGUAUUCCUGGUGACCUGGUCAAUAGACUGCACUUGCCUAUUCCAAGCACAUACAUGCCUAAGGAUGUCCUGUAAGAAAAGCUUUAACGAAAUCACUUUGGUUUGUAAAUGUCCUUGAGGAUUGAAUUAAUAGAAACUAGCAAUUCUUCUGCCUAAACUGAUUCCUGCAAAUUUUCUUGCCGAACUACUACAUGGUAAUACUCCCUCCAUUCCAUAUUCUAAUGCACAUAGUUUUUUGCCUAGAUUCCAAAAUGUAGUGCGCAUAAGCUGCUUUGGACUAAAGUAGCCCUGGACUGUUCACAGGAACGCAGCAGCAGACACCCACGUGCUGUGACAGAGCGAGCAGUUGGAGGGCAAUUCCUGUCCAAAUGAGAAUGUCAGCUCACGCAUUGGUAUAAACGCUACACACAAAGGCGCAUUAUAAAGUGGAACAGUGGGAGUACUAAAUUCAUAUGUAAUACUAAAUUCCUACAUGUCAUAAAUUAGAUUUUUCGACAAUAAGUACCUAAGUCUAUGUUAUGUUUAAGUUAAAAAACAAUGUCGAUGUGAGCCAUACAUACACCGAUUAAUAAAGCAGUUAGUACUUAAAUUGACCAUCAUUUCCUAUGUGCCUUAGAGGUAAGUUUUCAUCUCCACCAUUGACCCGCUUAAGGUGGCUAUACUGAAGCAGACCCCAUAUAAUUAUGAAUGGUUUAUGAAGUUGAAGGAUGAAACUUGAAUGAACACAAUGUUGAGGUUUGUAAAGUGAAGCCUAAGACAAGUUUGAGGGGGUAAUAUGCACUUCUCUCUAACUAUAUUACCAGAGGACAAUGAGGGCAAGACAGUGACAACGAUGAGUUUCUCCUGGUUCUGUUUUGUUGUAGGUGAAGUUCUUAAUUAUAAUUAUCAAUGCGUUUGUUUUUCCUAAGGAUGCAGUGACAUGCAAGGUGAGGCAAAUUGAAGCAAAACAGCAGGACGGUCGGAAGUGUGCCAUUUUUUCUAUAUAGGUUAGUGAUUUUAUCCUUUUUGUAUUUUUACAUUGCUAGGUACAGUAGUUUAUAUGAAAUGAUUUGUUAGGGCAGGGGGUGGUUCUUCAAUCUUCAGGGAAUCAAGCGGUAGCACCGGAUGCUGACAUGCAUGAAAGGUAGGAGUGAUGGAGUAUAUGUAUUUGUAGCAAUUCACCAUCGUCCAUAAAUAAAUCAUCUUUGCCCCGCUUCCUCUGUCCAUCCAUCAACUCAAAUUGCUUUGGUUCACAAGUUCGUUUCAUCGUACAUCUAGGUACACUAGAACAGAGAGACUACUUUCCUUGAAUGGCUCAUGCGAGUAAACUGACAAUAGUGUUCAUCCAAGAUGCAGUUGUAUAUGUAUCUUCAUAGAGAUGUAGAUGCAUAGGUAGUUCAAUAGUGCACAUGUUCAUCGACAGGGAUGUAGAUGUAGUAUACAACCGAGGUUACAUUGACAAAUUAGUCCAUUAUGCUCCCAGGAAAAAUAAAAUAUGGUAUAUUGUUUCACUCUAUUAUAUUGUAAAUAUGAAAAAACAAUUGUCUCUGUUGCAACGCAUGACGAAUGUGAGGUGGGGUCUUACAGCGGGAAAUCGAGAGCGAAGGGGAGAGUCCAAUAGGAAAAGUGAAGGGUGCGUCAUGGGGUGGAGUGGAGUUUUUCUAUUGGGUUGGAAUGACAACUUUGUUUGAUAGUUGCCUGGGAUAGACAGUAACAUCUCAUCGUGCAACAUGAUUUAUCUUCCAUGUGAAUCCAUCGGUCGAUACAUCUUGUACGUUAUCCACAAAGGCACAUCGAUUAUCUAUUCUGGACCCUAUUCAUACAACACAACCGUUGGAGAUGGAAAAUCCGAGGCACUUAGUGAAAUCAAAAGGUUUUGUGAGAGAAUUCAAAGAAGCACUCAAAAUAAAGCUACCAGGAUAGCAUUCUGAUAUAUCAAAAUGGCAACGUUAUUCUCUAAUGGUAUUCCAACGAGCGUAGAUGGGUAAUUAAUUCAUAAUACAAACAUUUAUUUUUCUUAUCAUCAUAUUUAAUAUAAUAAUAAUUUUUCCAUUCUAUGCUCUUAUGGAAUGGUAAAGACUUGGCGAAGCCGGUUUGCACAACGAGUAUUUUCCGUUACACAUGUGCUUAGACCUUCCACGUGAAACAUAUACUUUUGCAGGAUGGGUAUGAGUUGAGGAAGCAACUUUUUAUUAUACUUUCUCAAACAUCAUGCAAAUGAAGCUAAAUACAACUUUCAUAUAUUGUGCGAGAAUCUCUUAAGCGCAUCAAGUAGAUCUCAAUAGUUUGUAAUAGAUUUUGAGUUGGAUCAUCACUUUAUAUAUAUUCAUUGUUAGAUUGCCAUUUUGUUAUCAGUUUAUAUUACAAGUGAAGUGGACUUCAAUUAUUAUGCAAUUGUGACCGUGUUAUAUUAUCGUAGCUGUGAAAUUUAGCAUGCAUUAUCUUUAUAUAACUUCAGCAAAAUAUUUCAGAAGCCCGUGGCAACCAGGUUUUUAUGUCCACCCACCAUAUUUUCUAGCCAGUUGGGGAACUGAGUGCGGUAGCGGUGCUAUGGGAGUGGUGGACAUGCAAUGAGGGAAGGACAAAGAAUAGAGGAUUAGGAAGGAUGGAUGGAGGUGUCGGAGCUGAGAGAAAAGAGGGAAAUACCGAAGGGAGCUGGCAUGGAAAGAAAGCGAAGUUGUGCCCCAAGGUUAGAGUGUGAUCGUGCUAUAAAUGUUACCUUUUAUCAAUGCCCGUGUUCACUCUCGAAGGCUCCACACAACCAUUGUGAAGGAAGAUGGCAAACUCAUUGAGGACAAUCAUUGUGGUGAUUUCUAAGCUCAAUUUCUGGUGGAGUAGUCUCGUGACAAAUUAAGAGGACAACCCAUGAGUAACUCAUAAAUUUAUAAAAUCACCUUGUUUUUUCAUGCAUAUUCAUGUUACCUACAAACGUUAGAUGUGAUUGAUUUAGGGAAGAAACAAUGGAAGAGAUGGUGGUUUUGCAAUGUAAAAUAUAUGUCUGAAUCAAGUAUUGUUUA